rnacentral:lncRNA from 1 species
AUGGGGGCCAAAACCAACCCCCCCAAAGCCCCAAAUUCCACCCCAAAAUCCCAAAGAUUCCCUCAAAGCCCCCAAAUACCCCAAAUUCCAUCCCAAAAAAUUCCCCCGGAUCCCCGAACCCCAAAUUCCACCCCCAAAAAACCCAAAUUUCACCAAUUCCCCCAAACCCAAAACCUCCCAGUUCUACCCCCAAAAUCCCAUCUCCCUUCCAAUGAGAAAACGUUGGAUUUUGGGGCCAAAAACCCCCAAAAAGGGGCCCAGAACGUCGUGCCAAAAACCACCACUUUCCUACAACGCCGCAGAACCCAAAAGCAGCAGAAAUGGACCCAAAAGGGGACGGUGCUAUUUACAGUUUAUUACAAGUUGAAAAAGCCAAAAUUCGGUUCAAGCUUUGCCAAAAAAAAGAAAAAAAAAAGAAAAACCAACCAAAAAAACGCCAAUUUUGGGUUUUUUUUUUUGUGUAAAAAUGGGGAUUUUUUACAAAAAAGCGCAACUUCUGUACAGGCGGAGGGGACGAGCGCACCCAAAAGUGCUGUUUUUUGGCCCAAUUUCACCUUUUUUAACACUUUUUUUUUGUGUGUGUGUGGGGGGGGGGUUGGAGCUGGAUGGGAGCUGGCAAUUUGUCUCAAUUUGCCCAAAAUUGGCAGAAUUUCACCCAAUUUUUGGGGGGUGGGAGAGCGAAACUCAACGUUUCUUUGCAGCAAUGGAGAUUUUGGGGCAUUUUGGGGCAUUUUGGGGCAUUUUGGGACAUUUUGGGUUAUUCUCCCACGUUUUGGGUUAUUCCCCCCACGUUUUGGGUUAUUUCCCCCACAUUUUGUACAUCACUCCCGAGCUCCACACCUUUCACCACCAUUUCCCCCCAAACCCCACACAACUCCGCUUCCUUUCCCCCAAAACACCACACCCUGCACUCACACCCCCCAACCUCACAACCCCACACCUUCCUUUGCCCCAAAUUCUGCCCUUUUCCCCCCACUUUCAGCCACUCCUCCCACGCCAUUCACACCAAACCUCGCCAACAGCCAACGAAGCCCAACAGCCCCCAUUACAGCCCAACAAACCCCAUUACAGCCCAACAACCCUCAUUACAACCCAACAAACCCCAUUACAGCCCAACAGCCCCCAUUACAGCCCAACAAACCCCAUUACAGCCCAACAACCCUCAUUACAACCCAACAAACCCCAUUACAGCCCAACAGCCCCCAUUACAGCCCAACAACUCUCAUUACAACCCAACAAUCCCCACUCCAGCCCAACAACUCCCAUCACAGCCCAACAGACCCCAUUACAACCCAACAAACCCCAUUACAGCCCAACAGCCCCCAUUACAGCCCAACAACUCCCAUUAGGGCCCAACAACCCUUAUUACAGCCCAACAGCUGCCAUUAAAGCCCAACAGCCGCCAUUACAGCCCAACAAACCCCAUCACAGCUAACAACCCCCAUUACAGCCCAAUAGCUGCCAUUACAGCCCC